GGGGGCGGCAGGGAAGAGUUCCAGGAGGUGUCUGGACAAAGAUUUGAUGGAUGUGCAAGAAUUGGGCUGAUGCUUAGGAGGGGCGAUGAGGUGGGUCCAGAAGAAGGGGGGUGAACGGUGUGAGCAAAGACCGUGAGGCUGGAGGCUGGCCACGGGAGGUGUGAGGGGUAGGGGCAGGGUGGGAGGUGGGCUCGCGGGUGGGCUGGGGUCAUGAAGGGCCUCAGGCGCUCUGCUAUUGGGUUCCAAGGCUAUCCUGAGAACAGGGGUGAGGGGGGAUUGCCGUGGGGGGUUAAAGCCUUGUCAUGUUCGCUUUCGGGAGGUAAAAACAACAGGUGGCCUUUAUGGAGACGCUGCCCAGAGCCAGGUCUGUGCCAGGCUCCUGUUGGGGGUCGUCAUGCGGAAUCCUGACUCUGACCAUCCGAGGCAUAGGGACCGUGGAGAUUUGCAUUUCACAGAUGAGGAAACAGGCCGGUCACUGGGGACUCUGUCCAGGUCCUGGUGGUUCCUGCUUCCCAGCACCUGAUGGUGUCCAUGAGAGCAGCCCCUCAGGAGCUGUCCAGGAGAGAAGGGCGCUGGUGGCUGCUGAGCAGAGAGCAAGGCCCGUGUUCUCCAGGCCCUUGGCACAGCAGUGGAGCCCCCGCCCCUGCCUUGUGUUGUCCUCUUAG
rnacentral:lncRNA from 1 species